rnacentral:rRNA from 1 species
CCCUUAGAUGUUCUGGGCCGCACGCGUGCUACACUGAGUGGAUCAGCGGGUCAGGUUGCGCGAAAGUGUUUCCUAAUCUUUAAAUCCGCUCGUGAUGGGGAUUGACGGUUGCAAUUUUCCGUCAUGAACGAGGAAUACCUUGUAAGCGCGGGUCAUCAUCCCGCGCUGAAUACGUCCCUGCCCUUUGCACACACCGCCCGUCGCUCCUACCGAUUGAGUGGUCCGGUGAGGCUUUGGGAUCUGAGCGGAAAGAGCGUUUCGCUGUUUCUGCCCGGAAAACUCAGUCGAACCUUAUCAUUUAGAGGAAGGAGAAGUCGUAACA